UAUAUAUAUAUGCGUCUGAUCAGUAAUAGGUUUCCCUGAUUGCUACCCUUUGGCACGAUACAAUGGAGGGAAGAAUUUGUGCAGAUAUCAGUAAAAAAUAAGAAAACAAACAAAAGGAAGAUCAUCAAUUAUUGAUUAGUUUGUCUUGAGCUUUUCCUGCAGCAAGCACUGGAAGAGAAAUGGCAGCUUGUAAUUUUACAGAUAAGAGCAAUCUGUGCAUAUUGCAAAACAAAAGAAAAUAUCAAUAUGGUUAAGAGAGAAGAUACCGCCUUUGAAAAGAUAAUAAGAGAAAAGGGGGAAGGAAAGAAGGCACAGGCCAGCAAAAUAUAUACAAUGCUAAUAGAGGCCGAUGGAUGUACAAUACAGGACUUGAAAACUAUGUGGGAAACGGAGUUACAAAUCUCGGAACAAGAAAUGAGAAAUGUGGAGGAAAAUAUUGCACAAAUGGUAUCGCACACCCUGCCAAUUAGCAUACUACUAUAAAGAGGGGAGUAGUCAGUGCUGGCAUGGAUGCCACCAGAAAGGGCACUUUAUGCACAUGAUGUGGGAAUGUGAAUAUGUACAAGAUUUUUGGCAGACUAUACAAAAUGUGUCAAAUCAAAUACUAGGAAAUGAGUGGGUCAUAACAAAGGAAUUAGCGGUAUUAGGGAAAAGAGAGGAAAUGGGAAAUAAAAGGGAAAUAAAAGAAGCAAUAAUUGAAUGUGCACAAGCAGUAAUAGUAUUAGGGUGGAAAGAUAAAUCAAAAUGGACAAUAAAUAAAUGGUACCAUUAUAUGGUGGAGCAAAUGGAAUUUGAAAUUAUGAAUGUGAAAUUAAAUGAUUUAAAAAUCAAUGAAAA